AUUUCCACUGCUGGACCGAGGACACAGGGUUUGGAAUUCCUAGAGAAUUACCUUUGAGAGAAGCUGGAAAUAAUUUCUUUAAAUUUCAUCUCUUAGUUUUCAUCUUGUUGCAUUUCUGAGGCAUAUCCAGGAGCC
rfam:Ictidomys tridecemlineatus contig106737, whole genome shotgun sequence.